rnacentral:rRNA from 1 species
AUGGUAGGCGUCAAUGGUAAUGUGAGAAAGGGCCUCGCGUCUCUCGUCAUGUUGGUUUCUUGGGAGAUUUGAAACGAGCGGAAUGCCAGAGUAUUUAGGAUGGUGUCCUCCAUGCCAAAUGUAAUCACGUCUAGAAUCAAGGCGGAGGUCAGACUUUGGGGGUUGGCAGGGGCCAAACGUCUGAGUUCUCUUAUGCCGCGAGAGUAG